UACGGGGGGAGCAAGCGUUGUUCGGAUUUACUGGGCGUAAAGGGUGCGUAGGCGGCGCGGUAAGUCGGGUGUGAAAUCUUGGAGCUUAACUCCGAAACUGCAUUCGAUACUGCCGUGCUUGAGGACUGGAGAGGAGACUGGAAUUCAUGGUGUAGCAGUGAAAUGCGUAGAGAUCAUGAGGAAGACCAGUGGCGAAGGCGGGUCUCUGGACAGUUCCUGACACUGAGACACGAAGGCCAGGGGAGCAAACGGG
rnacentral:rRNA from 1 species